GCGCCCGGCGCUCAGAUGGAUAGAGCACUUGGCUACGAACUAAGGGGUCGGAGGUUCGAAUCCUUCCGGGCGCACCA
rnacentral:tRNA from 1 species